UUUGGAGCUGGCGUGGGACAUUGAUAAUGUUAAGACUCAGGAUUACUGGACCGUGCUUUCCUACAUAGCCGACAACCCUGUCGGUCGACCGAUCGUGUGGAACUACUACAGAAGCAACUGGAACAACUUCGUUGAUAGGUACACACUGAAUGAUCGCUACUUCGGAAGAUUUAUCGGCAGUGUUACAGCAACCUUUACAACGCAGUUCCAACUAGAUGAGAUGCACGCGUUCUUCGCUAAGUACCCGGAUGCAGGAGCUGGCGCCACCCCGCGGCUGCAGGCACCGUGAGGCGUGGAGCAGCCAGCAUCGCCUGGUGCCCCUCCCUGAUGUCCAGCUUAACACCACGAGGAGAAGAUCGUAGACUGGCUGCUCGCCUACGGCAACAUGUGAAUUAGAUAGCUUAGUUACAUAGAACAAAGUACGAGCACCAGUCAAUAUGGGCAGUAAGUGUGCUUUGGUCGAUAGAUGGCGUUCAAACUCUUCAUGGAUGACACUGCCAACAGUAUAAUAUCCAUUACAGAUAUUUGCCCUUGGACUAUCCCGUAAACAUCACAGAUAUAUGCCUUUCUGGACCACGUACUUACAAGAUGCACCUCCACACUUAUGGGUCUGAUACAAUGCAAAUUAGGCAUACAAUUGUUUAUAUACUGUAGGUACAAUGUAUUCUGCAUAAUAAUGUUUCCUAUCUAAUGCUACAAUGUAUUGAUAUGUCAGCCAUAAAAACGGUAAAAUGAGCAUCAUGCAUUUAUUAUUAAUUUAAUACUACGGUAUUAACGUACAUAUGUACAUGGUACAAGUA